AUGUGGCUUUUCAUCCUAGAUCAUAAAAGACAAUAUACCUUAUGCUUGGCCUCUCUCUUGUUUUCUUUCUCUCUUUCUUUCAGAAUGUGUGCUUUUGAAAGUAAAAAGUCUAGCUACCCUAAAGCAGCCAUUCUGAGAAACUGUAUAGGGAGUCUACAUAAGGAUAGAGAAAGAUGCCUAAGGAAGGGCUCUUCUAGAUUCUUGUUGAGUUUUCAAAUUAUCAGCUUCCAAGCAUCAUCAAUAGGAGAGAGACAUUGGCUACUUUGACAACUUUAAAGCGAACUCCAGGAAUGUCACCGACAGCAUGACCUUUGCAACCAAAUCCAGCCACCAGAACCUCAUCAUUUUCCUCAAUAAAGUUCAAACAACCAUCA
rnacentral:lncRNA from 1 species